CGCGUAGGCGGCGGCACAAGUCCGGGGUGAAAUCUUUCGGCUUAACCGGAAAAGGGCUUCGGAUACUGUGUCGCUUGAGGGAGGUAGGGGCACGUGGAACUUCUGGUGGAGCGGUGAAAUGCGUUGAUAUCAGAAGGAACGCCGGUGGCGAAAGCGACGUGCUGGCCCUCUUCUGACGCUGAGGCGCGAAAGCCAGGGGAGCGAAG
rnacentral:rRNA from 1 species